rnacentral:rRNA from 1 species
UACGUAGGGUGCGAGCGUUAAUCGGAAUUACUGGGCGUAAAGCGUGCGCGGGCGGUUUUGUAAGACAGGCGUGAAAUCCCCGGGCUCAACCUGGGAAUUGCGCUUGUGACUGCAAGGCUAGAGUGCGUCAGAGGGGGGUAGAAUUCCACGUGUAGCAGUGAAAUGCGUAGAGAUGUGGAGGAAUACCGAUGGCGAAGGCAGCCCCCUGGGACGUGACUGACGCUCAUGCACGAAAGCGUGGGGAGCAAACAGG